CAUCAAUCAUACCUGUCAAUCAUUUUGACACUAUGACCCGCAUAUAUACUACUGACAGGGAGCUUUUGUUGGGUCACAUGCUGCAUGGUCAGCUCUGUGGACUCUCCCUCUGCCUGCAGACUAAAACUCCAUUAUACAUCUUUUUAAGUUAUAUGAUGUUUCAUAUUUGUACCUAUUGUAAACAAUCUUGCUGCUGUUGUUAGAGUGUAGGGGUGACCUUCCAUCUUUGUUGUAAAGACUGUUUUGCUGAUUGCAUUUGUUUAGGGAGUUUUUCAGACUGUUGCAAAAAUUCGUUGCUGACUGUAUGCUUCCCCUGCCAGCUUACUGCUCGUUCAACCUCUUCAGUUUGCUAACAACUUGCUCCUAUAACUCCGGUGCUAUUUGUUCCAGGGUGUAUGCUUCCCCGCCAGCCUAACUGCUAGUUUAACCCAUUUGUCUUGUCAACAAUUGCUCAUGUAACUCUAGUGCUAUUUUGCAGGGUGUAUGCUUCUUCUGACAGCUUACAGAUAAUUUAACCCAUUUGGCACUUAACAGCUUGCUCACCCAACUUGUGCAAAUUGCCGUACUGCUAACCCAGUGUCUGCACAAUGAGGCAUGUUCUUUAUGCUAUUUAGACAUGCUUAUUUGUUUGGGGAAUGAUUUUGUUUUGUGGGACAUGUAUUGCUGCGCUCCUGCUAUGUCCAUGUAAGGCUGCAUGGACGGGCAGAAAGUUUGCCCAGAACAGAUUCAUUCCGCCAAACUAAAUAUAUGCUAUCGCUAAAUAAUUGACGACAGUGGUCCUGAUAGAACUCUUCUUUCUCUUCUCUCAGUUUGUCUCUCUGUUCAUCUCUUUGUCAUCUCUCUUCUUCUCUCUCUUUAUUAUAUCUCCAGAUCAUCUUGUUUUUUCUCAGUUGUUCUAUCCUCUGUUCACUUCACGCCGCCACUGCUGCACUCGAGCGUGAGAUAUCGCUUGCCAGCAUGGGCGCACUUUUCUCAGCGUCUGUACCGUUCAGUGAGAGGCAGUGAGCCGGCCGUAAGCUUAGGCCCAUGGCUCGAAUUGAGUCAGGUCUUAUGGGGGGUCCCCACCCAUAAGAUUUUUUUUUGGUGGGGGUGGGGGUUAGUCUCGCAAUAUACAAUUUAUACAAAAUACACAAUAUAUUUGAUCAUAAUAUGCAUAAUUAUAUACUAUUUAUUAAAAACAGGCUUAAAUAAAAGAACAGGCUUCUUUUACUCUAUUUUGGAUCAAAUCAAUGCAGGCUUGGUGAACAGAAAUGACUUUUGAACAGUAGUGUACAUCCAACAGAAUAAUUCUAGCAUUAUUUACCAAUGUAGUAUUUACUAUUUUCCCUAAAAAUAUCUGGAUGAUUGACACUUUGUGAUAAUAAUGUUCGUUCCAAAAGACUUGUUUAAAUGCAAGAAUAGUUUAUUAGAUAUUAAAAAUAUAAAUUGUGACAAGACCGGCUGUCAGUCUGUGUGUUAGUGUUGUGGGGAUUUUUCAACGAUUUCAGUGCAGUUUACAUAGUUACGUCCAGUAGGUGGCUGCAAGGGACUGUUAUGAGUGAGUCUGUCAGUCAGCAGACCAUUCAACCAUUUCAGUCCUAAAGUCUGCUUUGUUCAGGAACUAACUACAGUAUGACUAUCAAUAUGUCAGUCAUAGCUGUUUCAAGAGUGAAUCCCGCAUGUAUAUGCCGAUGUAAUUCCCAAAACUUUGCAGCGUAUAUGUGGCCGUUGGUUUUAGCAGCAUGAAAAGCAAGUUUUAUACAAUUCUUAUUGGAUUAUAUAGCACAGAAACCGCACAACAAGCACUCCCUUUAUAAUUACUAAAAAGCUGUCACUCAUCUUCAUCGAGACCUCUAGCACCCCAGAACCAGGCCUAAUAAUAGUUUACGCAAGGAAUACAAAAGCCCCGACAUGGAGUUGAUAAAUAUAGUGGAUAUGUAACAGGUAUUGACUAUAACUUGUGUUUUAUUUUAAAUUCACACAAAAUCAACAUUAGAAAAAGUUUUCUGUUACAUAUGUGUAUAAGAAAAGAAAAGAGAUUUUUUUUAUGUUUUCCUGAGUUUUGUGUUUGUAGUUGUGACGUCACUGGCGCGCUGCGCGAUCUCGCUUCAGUCCGCGGGAGGUCUGAGCGGAGCGAGGAGAAGGCUGAUUAAAUAUGCACUACAUAGUAUGCAACGAUUAAUUACUGCAUUUUACAACUCAUAUGCAGGUAUGGUUAUGAAUUGGUUUUGUGAUUUCUUUGUUAUAUGUGUUCAAUCGAAUUUGUUUGGAUAAGGGUGAUUUAAAGAUAUAUAUUAUAUGAGCUCGGUUAGUGUCAAUGUAUAUUUGGAGAUAUAUAGAUAUAUAUUGUAUUAUUUCUCUAACUGUUGUUAUAUCCGAUGUGAAAUUAAUUAUUAUUUUCUUGAUAUUCUUUAUUAUUGUAAAUGGGAUUGUGUAUUGUGAACUCGCUUCAGUCCGCGGGAGGUCUGAGCGGAGCGAGGAGAAGGCUGAUUAAAUAUGCACUACAUGUUA